rnacentral:rRNA from 1 species
CAGUAGCCGCGGUAAUACGAAGGGGGCUAGCGUUGCUCGGAAUGACUGGGCGUAAAGGGCGCGUAGGCGGCGAUCAAAGUCAGGCGUGAAAUUCCUGGGCUCAACCUGGGGGCUGCGCUUGAUACUUGGUUGCUUGAGUGGGGAAGAGGGUCGUGGAAUUCCCAGUGUAGAGGUGAAAUUCGUAGAUAUUGGGAAGAACACCGGUGGCGAAGGCGGCGACCUGGUCCUUGACUGACGCUGAGGCGCGAAAGCGUGGGGAGCAAACAGGAUUAGAUACCCGAGUAGUCCCUGUCUCUUAUAC